rnacentral:rRNA from 1 species
UCCUACGGGAGGCAGCAGUAGGGAAUCUUCCGCAAUGGACGAAAGUCUGACGGAGCAACGCCGCGUGAGCGAAGAAGGCCUUCGGGUCGUAAAGCUCUGUUGUAAGGGAAGAACAAGUGCCAUUUAACUGAUGGCACCUUGACGGUACCUUACGAGAAAGCCACGGCUAACUACGUGCCAGCAGCCGCGGUAAUACGUAGGUGGCAAGCGUUGUCCGGAUUUAUUGGGCGUAAAGCGCGCGCAGGCGGUCCUUUAAGUCUGAUGUGAAAGCCCACGGCUCAACCGUGGAGGGUCAUUGGAAACUGGGGGACUUGAGUGCAUAAGAGGAAGGUGGAAUUCCACGUGUAGCGGUGAAAUGCGUAGAGAUGUGGAGGAACACCAGUGGCGAAGUCGACUUUA